rnacentral:rRNA from 1 species
CUACGGGCCGCAGCAGUGGGGAAUAUUGCACAAUGGAGGAAACUCUGAUGCAGCAACGCCGCGUGGAGGAUGACACUUUUCGGAGCGUAAACUCCUUUUAUAUAGGAAGAAGAUGACGGUACUAUAUGAAUAAGCGCCGGCUAACUCCGUGCCAGCAGCCGCGGUAAUACGGAGGGCGCAAGCGUUACUCGGAAUCACGGGGCGUAAAGAGCGUGUAGGCGGAUUAAAAAGUCAGAAGUGAAAUCCUAUAGCUUAACUAUAGAACUGCUUCUGAAACUCUUAAUCUAGAAUAUGGGAGAGGUAGAUGGAAUUUCUGGUGUAGGGGUAAAAUCCGUAGAGAUCAGAAGGAAUACCGAUUGCGAAGGCGAUCUACUAGAACAUUAUUGACGCUGAGACGCGAAAGCGUGGGGAGCAAACGGGAUUAGAUACCCUCGUAGUC